CUCUCUCUGUGUGUGACUAUCAUAAAUAAAUAAAAAAAAUAAAGUAGUUCUGCAGAAAUGAAAAUGAUGUUGAAUUAAGGUAUGGUCAAGAGUCUGGUUUUCCAAACAUGAGGUAUGUUACAAAGUGAACACUAGUAAGAUUAAAACAUUUAAAUACUGGGCUGUUUGUAACCUCUAAACAUGAAACAUUAGGUUGAGAAGGAAAACAGAACUGGAAGUUCAGUAAAAAUAUGAAGAGUUAACAAUUCUGGUCCUACUUUUGGGACAAAAGUUUGAAAUUCUUUUUAGAAAGCAGUAACUGCUUUAGGAAACACUAAAUGACUCUGCUAAAUAACCAGAAAUAAUGUGGUCAUUCCCUGAAAAAUGUUCACCAGUAGCAACUUUCUUAAUAGAUCACGGAUAAUACUUUAAUUUCUGUCAGUUGUUUUUAUUCAUCAAAUUAAACUGUCCUAAUAUUGCCACUUAUACUUUGUGGCUUAUAACACUACUGACUCCUACUAGUACAUCUAUUAGAGUUGAGUGGGAGCCAAGCUACAAGCUUUAUUGGCAAAGCUCAAUCGGAAAAGCUUUGGCCUAUGGCUCCAACUAAACUUGUCCUGCCCUCUUUUCCUAUACCUUGAAGUCCACCUUAAGAGGAAGAUAUUUAUUUAUUUAUUUUUUUAAGAGGAAGAUAUUUAAACCAACAGAUGCAAGAAUUGCGAAUGACCUAUGAACAGUGGGUAUUAUGUGUAAUUGAUGAAUCACUAAAUUAUACUCCUGAAACCAAUAUUACACUAUAUGUUAACUAAAAUUUAAAUAAAUGUUUGGAAGAAAAAAAGAGCCCUACAUGACUUCCACACCAUGUUAUACAGAGAAACCAAGAUUCUAAGAGAGCCUGAUGGGCCUGCCCUGGACUCUUGACUCAGUUUUGCUUACCAUAGGUGGAGGAAUGGAAACAUGUUCCGACUGGGCCUAUCAGGGUUUGAAAUAGAGCCCCAGAAGGGACUGAACCACACGUCUCCAGGAUUCUUCUCCCAGUGUCAUCAAUUGGAGAGAGGAGUCAAGCCUCCAUGGGAAUUCACACAGAGAAACUAGACAACAGCGGAAGGUGCCCUGCUCCAGCUGCAGGGACUCAGCCAGAAAGACUGGAAUACUACAUGACUCUACCUGCAAGUUGGGGAAGGAGAACUCAACACUAUUUGACUGCAAAUGAAUCUACAGUUAUCUCAAAAUAAAAUGAUUACUUUUAAAAAGUCAAAACUUGGAGGCCAAGAUAAGGAAACCAGUAUGUCAGUUUGGCAGUUACAACAUGAGCUUUGAAUAUGUGACAUCAUAAUGGCAGUGACCGCGGACCGCUGCGGAAUCUUCAGGCUUCAAGCAUUUGACAGUACUCUGCCAAGUGCUGUAGACUCACUCGAUUUCCCGUCCCGCGAAUUGAAGAGAAAAGGAUGUUCCCGUCAAUCAGAAAGCACGCUGAGCUUACAGGUGGACAUUCAAGGCUUCAGCGCAUGAGGAAGACCUCGUCUGUGGAGGUGGACACCCACAGCGAAAGCACUACAUCAUCUGAGGGUGCCACUCGUACCUUGCUCAUCCAUGGCCCCGUUGAGCUCAAGAAAGGCUGGAGGAGGCAGAAGUGGCAGCUUUUCUUGUACAGCGAUUUAUUACUGAUGUCUAAUACCAAGCUGCAGAGAUGAAAAUGGGAACAGAGGAAGUCUCAGAAAUGGUCCAGUCAUACAUAGGGAAAUCAUGCAAGAGAUUCCAACCCAGGCCU